ACUCCAAAGUUAGAGCAUGUGCGAUUCGUUUGUAAUUAUUGAGUUUCAUAUUUGCGUUCAAUAUAAACGUCAAUUCAUAUUUAGAAUUGGCAAAUAAACUGUGGUGCAUAUUCACAUUUGUCAAACACUCAAUUUUGGCCAAAAUAAUUGUCAUAAAUGUGGCAUUCCUGAAAUAUGCAUGUACAUAUUGGAUUUUAAUGUUGACCUAAGCUUCUGAGUUUGUCGCAAAGUCCAAAUUAAUUUUCAAUGUGUACACUUACCAAAUAUGGUUAACAGUUAGCAGUUAAUUGUUCGAUAGUCCAAGCAUUUCAAUUGGAAAUCACAUGAAGCUGGAAAUAUAUAAAGAAGAGAAUAAAGAGAAAUGUAAUUUCCAUAAUAUAGUACAAUCCACAGCACGUGUCAAUCAACGCUGACCGCUGCUCUUUAUCAUGCCAAUUAAAUUUUAAUUGCGACACUUUCCAAUCAAAUAAAAUCAAAAUCAAAAAGGAGGAAAAAGUUUCUAUCUAAAACUGCUUGCGGAAAUGCGACUGUCGGGCGUAACUAAUUGAAGUUCAAUGGAAAAAAUGGCCAAAAGUUAAUGAUGACAUUAAGACUGGCUGAAAGAUACAGCGGACAACAGCAACAGCAACAACAACAACAACAAGCAAACGGAACGACCAACAAAUCAUCAGCACACACAAAUCAUCGCACUCAGCAAAAGUAAAAUCACAAGAAGAAAAAAAAUACAAAAAAAUACAAAAUAAAGGAAGGCAAAGCACAAAAGACGGGUACGCGUGCAAAAGACGAUCAAAAAUCAAAAAAGAAAAAGCAAGAAACAAAAUUAUACACGAACAAAACAAAUAAGAAUGCUCUAGUCAAAAAAAAAAUUACAAUUCGCAGAUACUCUCUGAUUGACUUUUUCAAACUACUUUCAACACUAUUACAAGAUUAUCCUUUUGCUUUGCAUAAUUUUCAUUAUAAAUCAGAGUCUAUUAUAUUCCAUUUAUGAUUUCAUGCGAUUGCAAUUCUUUGCAACUUGCAUCUGAUUUGUAUAUUUGCAUAAAUAUAACAAUUGCAGCUUUAUAAUCAACUUUAUGACACCCAUUUCUCAACUACAUGCAGGGUAUAUGUAAAGCACAAAAUAAAUAAAAAG